rnacentral:rRNA from 1 species
UACGUAGGGGGCAAGCGUUGUCCGGAUUUAUUGGGCGUAAAGCGCUCGCAGGUGGUCCGUCGCGUCGUGCGUGAAAGCCCCCGGCUCAACUGGGGAGGGUCAUUCGAUACUGAUCGACUCGAAGGCAGGAGAGGGUAGUGGAAUUCCCGGUGUAGUGGUGAAAUGCGUAGAUAUCGGGAGGAACACCAGUGGCGAAGGCGACUACCUGGCCUGUUCUUGACGCUGAGGCGCGAAAGCUAGGGGAGCAAACGGG